GUCUGGAGUUCAGACCCAGGGCAUACUACACAAACGCCCUCCACUGAGUUACACCCCAGGCCUGAAGAGUACUUUAAAAUGCCAGUUUGAGUAGCUAUUGCCAUUUGGAUUGAUAAAUUCUGAUGCUGGGGGGCGGGAACUCUGCUUGACUCCCCAGUACUCCAUUGUUAGGAGUCCAGAGUUUCCUCCUGUGCAGUGAUUUUUAUACCUUAAGUCAUUUUCCCCCUCCUCACUCACUUUUCCAUCACCUUGUAAGUUGAUUCCCAUUGUGCCACUCCUUUUUUGGCAGGGAAUAUACUUAUAGCCCAGUUGUCACAAACAGCCAUUAGAGAGCUGGAGCUGCUGUAUCAGGCAUCUUGUGUCCUGGGUGUCCUGGGCCUGCCUACUGACUGGCCCGGGGCAGUGUUAUUACAGCAACCUUGCUCUCAACCCCAUCAUCAUCCUGAUGAUUGACAGGCGUUAGUCCUGCUGAUUGUCCGUUGGCACCUGAUUGAUGUUUCUUUCCCUGGCGGUCUGCUUUGUUCUAAGUCACCGCCACCGACCAGACAAAGAGUAACUUAAGUCACGAGUUUUAAAUUAAUCACAAUAACCAACAUGAAGGAAAAAAGAAAAAAAAUGGUGUCUACUCUUUUCAACCAACAAUUUAAGGUAUUUUCAUUUGGUCUUGAUUUCUAGUCCAGAUCUAUAAGUCUACACAAUGUUGGGGUAUCUAUAAAUAACAGUAGUUUAUAUGAUUAGAUAAAUAGGUAGGUAAGUAAGUAGGUAGAUAAAUAGAUAGAUAAUUUUUUCAGUACUGGAAAUUGAAUCCAGAAUCUUACACAUGGUAGGCAAGUGCUCUACCACUCAGCUAUAUUCCCAACUCUUUUUUUUUUUAAUUUUUUUUUUAUUUUGAGACAGGUCUUGCUAAGUUGCCAGGCUGGAUGUAAACCUGUGAUCCUCCUUCCUCAGCCUCCCAAGUAUCCGGAUCACAGGUGUGCACCACCAUACUUAGUUAUUGGAUAUAUUUAAAAAACAGAUUGCUAUGGUUUGGAUAAGUGUCCUCAAAAAGCCAUAUGUUGAGGUCUUUGUCUCCAACCCUCUAUUGAGAGUGAUGAAACCUUCAGUGGGUGGGUCCUAGUGGAAGGAUAUUAAGUCACUGGGGGUGUGACCUUGAAGGAGAUAUUGGAACUCCUGUCCCUUCCUCCUUCUCUUUGCUUCCCUACCUCCAAGAGGAAAACAGCCUUCUCCACCACGUACUGUGGUGUGCUGCCUUAUCACAGGCACAAAGCAAUAGACCAACUGAGCAUGGACUGGAAACUCCCCAAAUCAGGCCAAAGUAAACCUUUCCUCCUUUUAAGUUGAUUUAUCUCCAGUAUUUGUUACAGCAACAGAAAACAUGCUGAUUUUAUGUUGCAAAUGACUGAACCUUUGUCUGAGGACUGUGUGCACAAGAGACUAGAAUUUUAAAAAUUCCAACUUACAGGUUAACAUAUAUGCUUACUAAAACAUUAUUGUGUCACUGUUACUGCAUUGUGUAUUAUUAUUGUGCUGAGUAAAUACUGUUACUAUCCUGAAAUACUGUAUUACGAUUAAAUGACCCAGGUUAACACUCUAAGUUUUCUUUUUUAAAAUUGCAUUCUUAUUACACUGUAUUAAAAUUACAUGUUUAACAUUAAUU
rnacentral:lncRNA from 1 species